CUCGGAAGCUAAGCAGGGUCGG
rnacentral:piRNA from 1 species